rnacentral:tRNA from 2 species
GGGCCGUUAGCUCAGUUGGUAGAGCAUCUCCCUUUUAAGGAGAGGGUCGCUGGUUCGAGCCCAGCACGGCUCACCA